rnacentral:rRNA from 1 species
CGGAGGAUCCAAGCGUUAUCCGGAAUCAUUGGGUUUAAAGGGUCCGUAGGCGGUUUGGUAAGUCAGUGGUGAAAGCCCAUCGCUCAACGGUGGAACGGCCAUUGAUACUGCCAGACUUGAAUUACUGGGAAGUAACUAGAAUAUGUAGUGUAGCGGUGAAAUGCUUAGAGAUUACAUGGAAUACCAAUUGCGAAGGCAGGUUACUACCAGUGGAUUGACGCUGAUGGACGAAAGCGUGGGUAGCGAACAGGAUUAGAUACCCUGGUAGUCCACGCCGUAAACGAUGGAUACUAGCUGUUGGGGGCAACUUCAGUGGCUAAGCGAAAGUGAUAAGUAUCCCACCUGGGGAGUACGUUCGCAAGAAUG